UACGGAGGGUGCGAGCGUUGUCCGGAAUCACUGGGCGUAAAGGGCGCGUAGGUGGCUUCUCAAGCGCGCGGUGAAAGCCCGGGGCUCAACCCCGGGUCGGCCGUGCGGACUGGGAGGCUCGAGCACUGUAGGGGCGGGUGGAAUUCCGGGUGUAGCGGUGGAAUGCGUAGAGAUCCGGAAGAACACCGGUGGCGAAAGCGCUCUGCUAGGCCGCAACUGACACUGAGGGACGAAAGCUAGGGGAGCGAAUGGG
rnacentral:rRNA from 1 species